UGGUUUCCUUGUGUUGUAAAGUUUGUGAAGAUAUUUAAACAAAUCAACAUUUGGGGUUUUUUACUUUUUUUUUUUUUUCUCAGACCAACUCAACUCCUGCUGGAAUCCAGACACUCACAGAACCUUUCCUGGCUUAUUUUGGCAAGAAGAUGACUGUGGAGAAGAAGAUGGAAUGUUUUCCGGAGAGCACGAGGAUGGACUGCUCAGGGGACCUGCUCACCUGGCUGUGCACCCACAGACCCAAGAACCAAGCAGCCAGCCUGAGUCCCAGGCUUAGCUGUUCAAGUGGCCAGACCUACUGGUU
rnacentral:lncRNA from 1 species